ACCCUCUCGGGAUCGCACCUGGAGAGUUUCCGGUACUCUACCGGCCUUGGCUACGGGAGGGAGAGUCAAGCAGAGGCCUGUCCGUUCCGUUCCUAGCUUGGCCAGUGGCUAGCGAGUGGAAGGCCAUCUGCUAAAAGU
rfam:Ornithorhynchus anatinus chromosome 18, whole genome shotgun sequence.